GGGGGGGAACCGUAGAUGGUUCGGGCCCCGCGCGGGAGCGCAUUCCCCGGGGGACCUUCCGGCCUCGCGCUCCUCCGCCCCUUGCAGCCGCCUUCCACCAAGAUGGCGCAGGCGGCGGGUCACGUGGCCGCGCCCCGCCCCCUUCCGGCCCCUCCCGCCCCUCCCGGCCCCUCCCGCGCGGCUCGGAGCGCGGCGCGGCCGCAGUCGCCUGCGAGCGAGCGGCCGGAGGCAGGCAUGCACCCGGCGGCCUGGGCGGCGCUCGGCCCGCUGCUCUGGGCCUGCGGGCUGGCGCUGCGGGGCGGGAUGCUGUACCCGCGGGAGAGCCCGUCGCGGGAGCGCAAGGAGCUGCACGGCCUCUGGAGCUUCCGCGCCGACUUCUCCGAGAACCGGCAGCGCGGCUUCGAGCAGCGGUGGUACCGGUCGCCGCUGCGCGAGUCGGGCCCCACACUGGACAUGCCGGUUCCCUCCAGCUUCAACGAUGUGGGCCAGGAUAGGCAGCUGCGCAGCUUUGUCGGCUGGGUGUGGUAUGAGCGGGAGGUGACCCUGCCCCAGCGAUGGACCCAGGACCUGGGCACGAGGGUGGUGCUGAGGAUUGGCAGUGCCCACUACUAUGCCAUUGUGUGGGUGAAUGGGGUGCAUGUGGUGGAGCAUGAGGGGGGGCAUCUCCCCUUCGAAGCUGACAUCAGCAAGCUGGUCCAGAGUGGGCCCCUGUCCUCCUGCCGCAUUACCAUUGCCAUCAACAACACACUCACCCCCCACACGCUGCCGCCAGGGACCAUCCUCCACAGGACGGAUACCUCCAAGUACCCUAAGGGUUACUUUGUGCAGAACACAAACUUUGACUUCUUCAACUACGCGGGACUGCAUCGGCCCGUGCUUCUCUACACUACACCUACCACCUACAUCGAUGACAUCACCGUCACCACCAGCGUGGACCAGGGCACCGGGCUGGUGGAUUACCAGAUUUUCGUGCAGGGCAGUGAACACUUCCAGUUGGAAGUGCGUCUUCUGGACCAGGAAGGCAAAGUCGUGGCCCAGGGGACAGGGUGCCGCGGUCAGCUGCAGGUUCCCAAUGCCCACCUCUGGUGGCCCUACCUGAUGCAUGAGCACCCCGCCUACCUGUACUCUUUGGAGGUGAGGGUGACCACGCAGACGGCAGCUGGGCCUGUGUCUGACUUCUACACUCUCCCCGUGGGGAUUCGCACUGUCGAGGUCACAGAGCGCCAGUUCCUCAUCAACGGGAAACCUUUCUAUUUCCAUGGCGUCAACAAACACGAGGAUGCAGAUAUCCGGGGAAGGGGCUUUGACUGGGCCCUGCUGGUGAAGGACUUCAACCUGCUGCGCUGGCUCGGGGCCAACGCCUUCCGCACCAGCCACUACCCCUACGCCGAGGAGGUGCUGCAGCUCUGCGACCGCUACGGGAUCGUGGUCAUCGACGAGAGCCCGGGCGUGGGCAUCGUGCUGGCCCAGAGCUACGGGAACCGGUCUCUGCAGCACCACCUGGAGGUGAUGGGGGAGCUGGUGCGCAGGGACAAGAACCACCCCGCGGUGGUCAUGUGGUCCGUGGCCAACGAGCCCGCCUCCUUCCUGCCGCCCGCCGGUUACUACUUCAAGACGCUGAUUGCUCACACCAAAGCCUUGGACCCCUCCCGGCCCGUGACCUUUGUGACCAACUCCAACUAUGAAGCAGACCUGGGGGCGCCGUAUGUGGACGUCAUCUGUGUGAAUAGCUACUACUCUUGGUAUCAUGACUACGGGCACUUGGAGGUGAUUCCGCUGCAGCUGGCCACGCAGUUUGAGAACUGGUACAGGACUUACCAGAAACCCAUAAUCCAGAGCGAGUACGGAGCUGGGGCCAUCCCAGGGUUUCACCAGGAUCCACCUGUGAUGUUCAGUGAGGAGUACCAGAAGGCUCUGCUGCAGCAGUACCACAUGGUUCUGGAUGAGAAACGCAAAAACUACGUGGUUGGAGAGCUCAUCUGGAAUUUUGCCGACUUUAUGACUGACCAGGAUCAUUUUAUGGUAAGAAAAAAAAGAAGCCAGCAGAAGAGCCUGUUGUCUUGAGGCAAAAAUGACCAGCUGAACCUUAGUCUGUUCACAACAGGGUGAGGAAGUACCAGACCUUGUAUUGGAUUUCCCUGUGGAACGCACCCCUUAUUCCAGAGUCGGGUGCAGAGCCUGGGAAACAGGGUAUUUCAUGUGUUUUCCGUCGUUCCCCGGGAAGAGGCAGCUUCACGAGCACAAGCAGGCGUCACAGUGUUGUGCACGUGGAGGCUCUAAGUCCGCAUGCUCCAAAGUGGGGCGACAGGAGGGCCCCUUCAGCUAAGUCGCAAACGAAGGGACCCCGUUUCCUCCUGUGCCUCCGGGUGUUACAGCCUGCAGCCCAGCCAUCUGGGGAGGCCGGCAAGUGCGCACGGCGGCGCGGGCGACCCGGGAACCCAUCCGAGACCAGGCUUGUCGCGGACGGACCUUCCGUUCGGCAGAGGCUGCGCGCAGCGGGGCCCGAGGGGACGUGCUCGGAGCCUGUCGCCGCUCGGCUCCUCCCUGGCUGGGCCCGAGCAGCGGGAGCCCCGACGAGCAGCGGGAGCCCCCGACGGCGCGUCCCGUCGGCCGCUGCCGAGCCGCCCCGCCCCCGCCAGUGAGCCGCGGGGACGCCCGUUUCCCAGGGAAGAGACGUCACUCG